GCCGGUGUAGCUCAGAUGGCAAGAGCACGUGAUUUGUAAUCUCGGGGUCGUGGGUUCGAAUCCCUCCACCGGCU
rnacentral:tRNA from 2 species